rnacentral:rRNA from 1 species
ACUCAUUGCGAGUAAAGGCGCACCUAGAGCGUAAUGUUGGGUCCCGAAAGAUGGUGAACUAUACCUGACCAGGAUGAAGCCAGGGGAAACCCUGGUGGAGGUCCGUAGCGAUUCUGACGUGCAAAUCNAUCGUCAGAGUUAAGUAUAGGGGCGAAAUACUAAGCGGCCCAUCUGGUCAGGUAUAGUUCACCAUCUUUCGGGACCCAACAUGUACGCUCUAGGUGCGCCUUUACUCGCAAUGAGUAAUUAACGCCCCGGGAGUGCGGGCUAAAAUUUAACCAUCUUCCCUUAAAAAGCAAAGCUUUCUUUACUUUUGUUUUGCCUUUAGGUUUUAUUACCC